GGCCCCGCCCCCGCACGCAGGCCCCGCCCCGUGCUGUAGGCUUAGGACUGCGACUCUCCGGCGCCCCGGCCGAGGCCCCGCCCCCACGUAACGGCCCCGCCCCUGCUCGCCCUCGGCAGGCCGGAGCUGCCGAGCGCCGAGCGGGCCAGUGGGCGGGCCCUCCUUUGGGGACCGCGCAGGGUUUCCGGCGCCUCCCAGCGGCCGCCUACGCGAGCCACAGCCGGUGCAGCGCUCGCUCGCUUGCAAUUCGUAGGUCUGUGUCUUGGGCUUGGAGGGGCACCCCAGGCCCGAGAUGGAGCGUUGCGCGUCCCAGCCUGCGCCUCGAGUGCCAAGGAGACUCCUAGGACCAGACUGUGUUCCCACCUUGACUCACCGCGGCUCUGCACCGGUUGGGUAUUCUCACCAUAGCAGAGCCCCUCCUACAAGUAUGAGAAGAAAAGAAAGAAAAGUGAAAGAAAGAAAAAAGAGAGAGAGAAAUACCACUGGCCCAGGGUAGAGAUGCCCACGGACAGGUUCCUGGCGGACCCAGAGUGAGGACGGCUGCUCAGAACCCGUGUCUCCGGUCGCAUUGCAAACGCCCCGGCAGCAACACGCAGGAGGAAGACUCUGGCAGCGACCACAGCAAACCCUUGCCUCCUACGGACACUGGCACAAACAGGCAAAUCCCCCAAGGAUGGAUUGGGUCCACGGGAUGCGGACUAGGUUAUAGGAAAGUGGUGCUAAAUAUCUCACUGUGUUCCCAGCUUCCAUUGAGGGCAGGACCAGACCAGAAACUGUGUAAACUUCCAAGAACGUGGCCUUGCUUGGCGUGUUCAUGGGUCGUUUGACCCAUGAUAUACAUGGGACUAAACCCUUGACUCAUGAUUUUCUACAGCAUAUCACUAAUCAGCAAAAUAAAGAACAAGAGUUUUCAGGCCA